UAAAGCCUUCGGGCGCUAGAGGAGGAGCCUGCGUGCUAUCAGCUAGUUGGUAGGGUAAUAGCCUACCAUUGCUAUGACGGCUAGGGGGUGUGAGAGCACGACCCCCCACAAGGUUACUGAGACACGGAGCCUACACCUACGGGUGGCAGAAACUAGGAAUCUUCCGCAAUGGGCGAAAGCCUGACUGAGCGACGCCGCGUGUGGGAAGACGUAUUUGACGUAUGUAAACCACUGUGGCAGGGGAAGAAUUCUGACGGUACCCUGCUAGAAAGCACCUGCUAACCACGUGCCAGAAGCCGCGGUAAUACGUGGGGUGCAAGCGUUAUCCGGAUUUACUGGGCGUACAGCGUUCGUAGGCGGACAUGUAAGUGUCGGGUUAAAGCCCAGGGCUCAACUCUGGACAGGCUCGUCAUACUGCAUAUCUCGAAUUAGAUCGGGGAAGUUGGAAUUCUCGGUGGACGGGGUGAAAUCCGUUGAUAUCGAGAGGAACGCCAAGGGUGAAGACAGGCCUCUAGGACUUAAUGGACGCUGAGGGACGAAAGCUAGGGUAGCAAAGCGGAUUAGAGACCCGUGUAGUCCUAGCCGUAAACGAUGGAUACUAGAUGGCUGU
rnacentral:rRNA from 1 species